rnacentral:lncRNA from 1 species
AAAAUACUCAAUCACAAAAUAAUUUCAUCAUAACCAAACUCUUUCUUUUAACCUUUUUUAAAAGAUAAAACCAUUCUUUCAUACCAUUUUACAAAAUUAGCCACCACCCACGUACAUUAAGUUGAUUUUGAUUCCUUUGUAAAGAUACAAUUAUUGCACAGUUUGGAUUUCGGGGUCCAUAAAUUCUGAAAAAAAAAAAACAAACAACAAACGGUUCUGAAACCGAUUAAUUCUCUCCACGUAAGCACGUUAUCCUGUUGAAAAAAGAAACCAUAAUCUCUGUCACAAAUUUUUUAAAACUAUCAUUAGUAAUUGGAUUUUUACUUAAAUUAAAAUUAGUCCGAUGACUUUCACAUCUUGAGGACCUAAAAAUUACACAAUUUUUUUUAUUUUUGGGGCAUGGCACGGCAUGACAAGUGAUCUGAUUAAAUUCACAGUUGUGCGUAUAGAAUAACGAGAAGAAGAUUAAAAUAUAAUACCUAGGGUAGGCAAAUGAUAUGGCUGAAUUUUCAGAGUUUUGAUUCCAAGCAGCCAAGCAGCCAUGUUCUGAUUCUUGUCUCC